CCUGCGGCAAAGUGCAAGGUGAACGCGCCCUGGGCUCCAGCAACGAAGGGGAAACAGCCGCGCGCUCUACGCCAAAGGAGACUGCACAGAAAGGGGUCCCCGCCCAUGCAAGCGAGGAGAAUGGGGGAAGGGUAAAGCGGAGGCGUGGAUCUCAAAGAUCUGGAAGAAGUUUCAGAUUGCCUUUGAAGCAGGUGCAAAGAUCCUGAGGCUGGCACACAAAGUAUUGGAGGCAGAGGGAGGAGACAGGUGAACCUGGAGCUGAGGGAGGGAGGUGCUGGCAGGGACGGCAGCGGAACAAGACCACCACUUUCUGGGAGGAGUUGAGAGUUAUUCCAAGAACAAUAGGUAGCCAUAAGAAAGUGUGGAUCUGCUAGGAAUGGCCAUGUGGGGAACUGGUGUUGGAGCUCAGAAGAGAUGCCCCAAAGCAUAUCUGGAAUGCUGAGUUCUUUGCACUAAAGGAGAUUGGAAGGCCUCAGAAGCAAAGUCUCAGACCUUUUGCCCAAUCUCCCUCUUUCUCUCUGGACAAGUGUCAUAGAAAGCAGAAUUCCUCUUUCCCAAAGCACGUGAUAGAACUAGAACCCUGCUCCUCUAAAGCAAAGCCAUUAAGCCAAAAGAUCGAGCUAGAGGUGUGGCUGGGUGGUACAGUGCCUGCCUGGCUGCUUCAGGCUCUGGUUUCAACUCCAGCAUGCAGGGGAGGGGCUUAGAUCACUCUUCUCCCUCUAACUAGAAGACCCUCUUUCUAGAAGCGUCCUGCCCAUACAGAGACCGAGAAGAAUGUGAACAGAGGUCUUGCUGGGGUUCACCCCUCUGUAGCUUGCCAUUUUGUCCAAUCACGUUUCUAC
rnacentral:lncRNA from 1 species